CGGCGGCGGCGGCAGAAGUGGCGGCGGCGGCGGCAGCGAGGCGGGCGGCGGGCGGCGGCGGAGUGCGGCCGGGGGAGGGGGAGGAGGGGGAGGUGGCGGGGCGGCGGCGGCGGGUUCGGCGGCUGAGCGGCACACGUGGCGUGCGGCGAGCUGCCUGGGCAGCCUGCAGCUGGACCUGCAGGUGGGGCGGCGGGUGUGCGAUGGGACAGUGGCAAGGCAGGUUAAUAAAGUCCCGUAGGGUGCAGCUGAUUCCCAGAACCCAACAGAUGGCACACAAUUGGCAACGUCAGGGCAGGAGUGCGGCGGCGGGUGGUGACGCGGGUGGUGGCGGUGGUGGCGGGUGGGGUUGGGUGGUGGUGCUGGUGUGGCUGGUGGGGCGGGGUAUGAUUGUUGACGGGUACUGUGCAAGUGGCUACUUCCCGAACCCACCUACCUCCAAACAAGCGACCGCCGCUUGCCCACCUCCAAACCACCUGCAGGCGCUUCAGACAGCGCUGGGCGUGUUGGAAGGGGGCGCCGCGGCGGCGCCUCUCG
rnacentral:lncRNA from 1 species